rnacentral:rRNA from 1 species
GACGAACGCUGGCGGCGUGCUUAACACAUGCAAGUCGAACGGUGAAGCGCUUUCCUUUUUGGUUGGUGUGGAUGAGUGGCGAACGGGUGAGUAACACGUGAGUAACCUGCCCCCUUCUUCUGGAUAACCGCAUGAAAGUGUGGCUAAUACGGGAUAUUCUGCGCCUGCUGCAUGGUGGGUGUGGGAAAGAUUGUGCCUUUGGGUGUUUUCGGUGGGGGAUGGGCUCGCGGCCUAUCAGCUUGUUGGUGGGGUGAUGGCCUACCAAGGCGGUGACGGGUAGCCGGCCUGAGGGGGUGGACGGUCACACUGGGACUGAGACACGGCCCAGACUCCUACGGGAGGCAGCAGUGGGGAAUAUUGCACAAUGGGCGCAAGCCUGAUGCAGCGACGCCGCGUGAGGGAUGGAGGCCUUCGGGUUGUGAACCUCUUUCGCCAGUGAAGCAGGCCUGCUCCUUGUGGGUGGGUUGACGGUAGCUGGAUAAGAAGCGCCGGCUAACUACGUG